rnacentral:rRNA from 1 species
ACGAACGCUGGCGGCGUGCCUAAUACAUGCAAGUUGAGCGCUGAAGGUUGGUACUUGUACCAACUGGAUGAGCAGCGAACGGGUGAGUAACGCGUGGGGAAUCUGCCUUUGAGCGGGGGACAACAUUUGGAAACGAAUGCUAAUACCGCAUAAAAACUUUAAACACAAGUUUUAAGUUUGAAAGAUGCAAUUGCAUCACUCAAAGAUGAUCCCGCGUUGUAUUAGCUAGUUGGUGAGGUAAAGGCUCACCAAGGCGAUGAUACAUAGCCGACCUGAGAGGGAGAUCGGCCACAUUGGGACUGAGACACGGCCCAAACUCCUACGGGAGGCAGCAGUAGGGAAUCUUCGGCAAUGGACGAAAGUCUGACCGAGCAACGCCGCGUGAGUGAAGAAGGGUUUCGGAUCGUAAAACUCUGUUGGUAGAGAAGAACGUUGGUGAGAGUGGAAAGCUCAUCAAGUGACGGUAACUACCCAGAAAGGGACGGCUAACUACGUG